UCAUCAUCUUCUUCAUUUCCCUCAUAGUUUUUGGACUUUUGGACAGAUAGUGAGCUUGUUUCAGUGUUUCUGACAGUUCGUGUUCCUGUUCGUUGAUAUAGGAUAUUUAUACUUGUACUGCUUUCAGGUGCCCAGGCUAAUCAGGGAUAAAGACUGCUAUGCUAGGCUGG